ACACUUACCUAGUAGGAGAGAAACCAUGAUCAUUAAGCAGGUGUUUUUCUCAGAGUGAGGUCUGUCUGUUAAUUACCCUCUGGUAAGCUCUGGUAUGCUGAUAUUUGUGAUUUACCUAAAUGUAGGAAACUUGAGUAUUGCAAUUGGUGACUGCAUUUGCCCCCUCUCU
rnacentral:snRNA from 1 species